GACUGGAAGUCUGGUCCCAGACCUCAUUUAAGGGUUGGCAGGGAAGGCAAAGGUAUCUUGUUGGAGAGCCGUGCCUACUUGAGACCUUCCAAAGGAACUGACACAAUUUCGCUUUGUUAAUCUCAAAGAAGUAAAUGAAAGCUGCGAGGAAGACUUGAUGUCAGAAGAUCCCUGAGUCUGACUAGAGCUGGAAGGGAGGCAGCAAUCACUUCAUCUCAUUCAUGCUUGUGACUGAAUGCUGUCUCUAGCAUUCCUUCUCAGAGGAAAGAAAAAGCAGAUGCCCACAGUGUGUGUGUGGGGGAGGUCUGCUCUCAGACCAGUCAGGCAUUUAUUAAAACAGUGAGCUGUGAAAUUCUGCUAUGGAUUUCCCCCAGCAUAAUUUGUGUCUGAGAUGUAUCACCUUGAGAAGACCAAUCCAGCACAAACCUGCACAGGGGGCAUCCUUGCUGGGUGCUAACAGGAGCCUCUCACAGAGGUCCCAGUGCAAUAUGUGGAGGAAAAAAAAAAAACCCACAACUUUUUCUUCCUGAUUAUUCAGUACAGGACAUGAGCAUCAUAAACAACCAGACUUCACUGUCUCUGCAAGAAGGGUGUUUGAGGGACUCUCUGGAGCAUUACCUCCCUUUUUCUCAAGUUUCCCCAGCUUCCCUGUGCAAUCACCAGUGCUGGGUGCUGCUCCACGUGUGGCUUUUCCCAAGAAGAGUGAAUUUGCUGUUUCCUCCAGUUGUCCCUGGCUUGGAGACCUCUGCAGUCUUCUGCUGUCCCAUGGGAGCAGCAGAUACCUGGAAGAGGGAGCAGACAUACCUCAGACAUUGUGCUCAGGCUGCUGGAUUUGGACUGGACAUCAGAGGAGGGUCCAUCCCAAAGGUGUGUUACCUUCCCAGUGCAAGCUCUUACAGCCUUCUUAGAGCAGAAUUUUGAAGUGUCACUCAUGGUUGUAAUCUACCACAAGGUCUUUGGACCACAUGCAAAGGUGGAAGAUCUCUGAACUAAAGUCUCUGGCAGGGAGACGUGGUUUCAGGGGGACUCAGAAAAGAUCCUGCCAUCCCAAAUCCUACUCCUGGUGAAGGACCUGUGGUGGGAUUGUAGAGGAACUUUGUCCCUUCCCAUCCAACCUUGACAGAGGAUUUUUGGCAGGAUAUGAGCAUGGGGCUCCUUGUGAAGGAGCGUUCAGCUCCAGACCUGGCCAGCGUGGACACACAGAGCUCCGUGGGGCUCCAGGGCAAACCUGCACUUCCAGCAACACAGAGGGACAGCCUCAGCCUUGGUGAGUAUGUGAAGAAGUAUGAGAAAAGGGGAACUCAAUUAUUAAGGCCAUGUGAAUAUUUUUGGGCAGAAGUCCAAGUCUGGCAGUCUCAGUGAGCUGAAACCUACCACACCCAUGCCCAACAAUGCAUAUUCUUUUUGGCAUACCAGGGGGCAAAGGGCGGCCACUCACAUGCCUGUGCUAGGACUUUGUUUCACAGCUUCGUGCUGUGGAAUGGGGACAUCCCAACACAAACGUUGUCCCAUUGUCCCUCCGCCCCAGUACUCCCACGGUCCAGAGCUGGUCUCCAAAGAGCAGAUAGAGGAGGUGCUCUGGGGUUGCAUUUCCAACCCCAAGACCAUCUGCACUACAUGAACUUGCCAAGCUCAGCAUUUCUCACCCCAAUAACCUAUGGAAGGAUUUGCACCAUUGUUAAAAAAAAUUCAGGGGCUGGCUUACUACAGGAUGUUAUAGUUUGAUUUUUGGUGAUGGUUUCUCCAGGAGUUACUGUAAUAAAGAACUCAGUGCUUACUGAGUUUUGGGUACCAAAUGUCCAGGAGAGCACUGACUCUCAGCCGGGAUCCACUCUCAUCAUACUUGUACAAACCUUAAGUAACAUUCCUGGUGUCACUAGAGAUACUGCAUGUUUGGAGACUCAUAAAUGAAAAUAGGAUUUGGCCUACGAUUUCUCCCAACAAUCUUUUCUCAUGCAAAUAUGGUCAUUUUGCACACGCCUUGAAUACCAAAUUAGCACGCACUAUGCUGCUUGGGCAGGCUCGCACUUCCCGCAUGCAACCCAUGCCCUAUUGUUGGCCAUGUUGAGUGUGGGCACACGGCUUUCCCUGCCUGGGUGGGGACUGCUCGCUGUAAAAUCAGGUUGCUGGUGCUGCACCACUAGCGGUGUCAGCCCAUCAGAUGGGGCAGAUGCUUCCAUGGCAAUAUUCCGCCCUUGAGCUAGGAGAAGAAAUAAAGAUGCAACAAGGAGCCUGGGAAGUCAACAAGGAGCUUUGCUCCAUCUCCUGGUUGAAGGUGCUUGAGCAUCACAACAUGGGGAGGGGAUGGGUGGAAACUCCAAGCUUAGGUAAGUGGCUAUGAGGCAGAAGCGCAGAAGAGAAAGGCAUAUUUCUGCUCUGCCACCCGUAACCUAGGAGAGAGCCCUCAUUCCCCAGUCCCUUCAGGUGCGGUGAGGGACCCGAGCCGGGUGAGUUCACUUUUGUCUGGCUCCGCAUCGCGCUGAUCCUGCUGCAGCUGGGAGGGGAUUUCCCGUCGGCUCUAACCCAGCUGCUUAAAAAUACUCCUCCACUAAGUGAGCUAAUAUUUCAUGAAUAAAUUGAAGUGGUCAAGUCCCAUUUUGUGCAGAAAGCACGGUUCCCUGCCGAUUAGCCUCCUUGGUACUUUCGGGGUUAUAAAUAACUUCACAGGCUCAUUCUCUAUGCCUUUCAAAAUAAAAGCAACAUUCGGUUAUUUGAUUUUUUUUUAAUUUUAUGCAAAUGAUCUUCUGUUCUGUGUUAUUAUGUAAACGAGCCAACUGAAAUGGUAAUGAGGGAACCCAGAAGUAUGCAUAUAUUAACUGCCGCUAUGGAGCUUUACACCUACAGAAAUGGCACUGAAUAACAUUUCUGAGGGAGGGACAGGUGUCCUGAGGGUGCAGAUUUUAUUCCAGAGCUUGGUCCCUUCUGAAAUCCCUAUAUACGAACAUUUCCUGCUCAGGAGAGUACUCAGGCAUUCCAUUCAGAGAGCGAGUCAGUGCUUCACUUCUCAAUGGCUUAUUGUCAGCGUGAGAAAACACGGUGUGCUCAAUGACCAUCAGCCUUGCAGCAGCACAGCACUUCGUGUCCCUCCCCAUGCUCCAGUGAGACUAGCUCAGACCUGAGCCCACCUGAGACCAGGCGGCAGCCCACAAUGGGGACAAAGCUGUAGGAAUUUUUCUCUCUGUGUGCUCUGUUGUAAAAGAAGAAGCUAUAAGGAAACCAUCCCUGUGUGCCCUGCUCCAGGGCUUGGGCAAAAAGAGCAUUUCUGGACCAGGGUGAGCUUAUGGUGUGAUGUACAGAUAGGAUGAUAUGUCCUAAGAAUAACUUCUUGCCUGCUUAAAGGAGAAGCAAAACCCCUUUCCAGAGGCAAUGCAGACUCCAAUGAAGUCCACAGCAAAACUCACCCACAUGAGAGGAAUAAAAAAGUUUCUGGUCCCUGAAGUGCAUCCUGGAGCCUGCUCAGCAGCCCUGCCCUGCAGUGUGCUCCCAUGCUCCCCCUGAUCUCCUGUAUGGGACAUGCCCCAGUCAAGAAAAACCCCACCAGAAUAAGAGGAUAAGCAAUAUCUUCAUUAUCUACACUUCUCAAGAACAUUCAAGGAUUUCGACCAAGCUGAAAGCAUCGGUUUCUCACCUUCAUCAAUCACCCUGAGAGAGCUGAAGCUCAGCCCACAAGGGAACAGAUGCCUCAAAUCCUUUCUAAUCCCCGUGUUUAGCAGCGAUGUUUGAAGUGAUUAGAGGCACAGCAAACGCUGUUCUUGUGCAGGUAGAGCAGAUGUUGGACGCUGAGGUGCACUAAGCUCUCAGUUGGGGCUGGACUGCAGAAAUUUUGGCCCAAAUCCAUCUCAGCUCAUCUGAUGUUGUGAUUAUUUGGCUCCAGAUGCAGCAGACUGGACCUGUAGCAUCACAACAUGGUUCCACUUCUCUCAUUUUGUGAACUCACUGCUGCAUCAGAAGCUGGAGUGAAAUCUGGAGGCCUCCUGAAAGCAACAGGAGCCCUGUCCUUGAUUCCAGGGCAACGGGGAUCUCCAAAUCUGCGGCUGCUGUUAAUAAUUAAAUGUGAACCAGCAAAUAAUUGAUAAUUUGUCGUAGCAAAAACUACACCAAGUGCAUAGAUCUGAUCCAAAAGCCCAUGAAAGGCUUCUGCUGAGCUGACUGGAUUUUGGAACAAGCCCAUAGUGGUAAUAAAAAUAAAUCCCUGUCAUUAGGCAAAAGGGAAAAUCCAAAAGAUGCCAUUUGAGCCAUUUAGGGCUCAAAACCUGCAUCCUGGGGUUAGGUCUGGGCGGCCCCAGAACCUCAGGUCAUGGCCUUGUGAAAUGACAGUUCCCAGUGACUGGGGAGCCCUGAGCCUGGACAGGGAAAGGAAAGAUCGCCAGGUUUGGGAUGCAGCUGCCCCAGCCCCCAUCUCUGCCUGGUUUUCCCAGGGAAGCCUGAUCUGCACCACGCCAUCGAUCCUUCCUCCCUACAGGCAUUUGUACAACAGUCCUGGCGGGGAUGCUUUGCCAUCCGAGAUGUAAAUGUCAUUUUGGGCAAUGCUGCAGGCUUUUCUGCUUUGUCUGCUUUCUCUAGAGUGUAUUUUCCCAGAGAUCUAGAAAUUUAUCACUUGGAAAGCACAGCCCAAACAGCAGGAUUUAUUGCUCAGAAACCAGGAAACCCUGACUUUUAAAGCAUGUUUAAAGUCCAUUUUUCACACUGGGAUGAGACAAAUGUCACCAACAUCAGCGCCAGGAGCACACUGGGCCCCAACAUGAAGUCAGGACAAAAUUGUGCCCAAAGAGGACAUUUUGGAUUGGGAACUCAUCUGCACUCUCUGCUUUUAACAGACUCCUUUCACUCCAGAAAGAGAUCUUCAGGUGCAGACAAUUAAACUUCUGGCCAUAGCACUCAGGCAGCACAAGUGUCUCAGCCUCUGCUGAUGGCUGGAGGCUGGCAGAGAGCAGGGAAAGGGCCACUGUGUAAAAGCUUUUUUUUUUUAAACUGUGCUCUGAGAGGGGUUUUGUUUGCUCCUGCCCGGCAAUCUGCAUGUGCUUUUAGGGGAUGCAGUUUUAGACAGACUUUUGCUCUCCUCCAGUGCGGACAUUUCUAUCUUCCUUCCUACUCGAAAGCAAAUCUGAACAUCUAUGUCUACUUGAGACUGAUUGUUUUAGCAUUUUUUUCUGUGGUGUUCAUAUUCUCUGCAUUUCCAGAAAUAGAGCACAAACAUCUACUACUCGGAUGUUUUGUUAAGUUAUUUUCAUUAAAAAAAACAAACUUGCUUCCAUCUGGGAGUUUUGUUAAGUGUUUUAGAUACAUUUUUAAGUUCUUUGUAUCCCAUAACCAGAUGUGGAGUUCAGCCAACUGUUCCAGGGCUCGAACACAUGGAUCUUCGGGGAUGGUCGGGAUCUGGCUCUGAAACUCUCACCUGACUUCAUUCUGAUAGACGUCGCUCCAAGCUCCUCCUCCGCAGAUCUGAUUUCUCCCAAAUGUUGAGGAUAUCUGGAUUCCAGCCCAAACCUCGUCCAUUUGGGUCCAGCUUUAUCCGCACCUCCAUCUGGUGACCAGCAGAGCUGCCCCUUGCAGCCCAGAGCAGCUUUCCCCUCUGCCUCCAUCCCAGCCACAGCACAAAUGGCAGAUAUCUUUCUUCUCCUUUCAUAGCGUUAAGAAGCUGAAAUCUCAGGAGGAGCAUUACAAUUUCCAGUGGAACAAGCUACC